AGGGCAAGAUCCGGGGCUGCUGCAGGCGAGGCUGAGUCAAGGUGUGAAGCCAUCGCUUUUAACACAGAUUUCACCAAAAAUAGGUGUAAAGUAAGUUGCUGCUAAAAGGCUGCAAGACAGAUGACCUAAUACUGUUUCUAAAGCUGUUUACUUAGCUGCUUCUUACACAUUUUAUGAGUGAUGCCGCAGCUUUUCUCUAUACAUUUUUUGAUUUACGGAAAGACGACAAACAGGCGUUCGGCUGCCUUGACGAUGGCCGUUGCUUCAGUCCAGCUCCAGCAGACCCAAGUGUGGAGGGGCUGAACCCAUGAGGGCCACUUCUUGCCUCUGACAGCCCGGCACAGCCUCUGCUGCAGGCUGACAGAGCUGCUGCGCUGGGUGUGACCUGGACUCUUGUUAUUUCUGCAUUAUUAUUUUUAAUAUGAACUAAUUGUCCCUUUUACGCAAACACUUGACGCUAAGGUGCGGUGAUGAUGAGGCGAUAUUACCAGGACUAUGGAAAAGACACAUGCGUGCAAUGCUAAAAACAACACCUGUUUAGAGAAGUCAAACAGACUAUUACAGACAAUAGCUGGAGGAUGUUAUGUAUUAAGGUUGCUUUAUUUUAUUAUUUACACCUCUGAACUGGCCUGCCUGGAGUUGUUUUGCUGCCUUUUCCCUUUCGCCCUGCAAGAAAAGUCCAAACUUCCAAUUUUGAUAAAACUUCUAUGCCAAGAUGCGUCUCAGUUUCAGGAUGAAAUUCAUGCUCGGGGUACGAGGGUGCAAAAAUAGCAAAGUGGCGAGAUAAUUCACCUUGGACGUAGGAAGUUUCACCUGUAUGCUUCUGCACCUGAACCCGGCACAUCACGGGGAAAGAUUCAAGCCCCUGCCACCAAAUGAACGUCCCGAUCAUGUAGCACCAGGCAGUGCUGGGGUACGCUCUCUUUUUCGUAAAAAAUACGACAAACCUUGCCUUCAUUUGCACUGGCAACAUUGCUGGAAUCCCAAAGCAGUCCUUGAUUGGAAAAAAUUAUUCAGCUCUACUCUCAAUUUUCCUUUGUGUUAUCUAGGAAGACCUUUCUUUUUCUCCAACCACGCAAAAUCAUCCAGAGUUUCAAGAUGCAUUUACAUACUCUGGUUUCUUUUCAGAUUGUAUAAACCUUUCGCCUUUUACUAAAGAUUUCCAUGGAGAGGAACUCUUUAUUUUUCAGCCUGGGGAAGAGAAGGCUGCGGGGAGACCGUAUUGUGGCCUUCCAGUGCUUAAAGGGGGGCUGUAGGAACGAUGAGGGUGACCUCUCUGGCAAGGCCUGUUGUGAUAGGACGAGGGGUGAUGGUUUUAAACUAAAGGAGGGGAGAUUUAGGCUGGAUAUUAGCAAAAAAAAUUUUAUGAUGAAGGUGGUGAAACCCUGGCCCAGGUUGCCCAGAGAAGUGGUCGAUGCCCCAUCCCUGGAAACAUCCCAGGUCAGGCUGGAUGGAGCUCUGAGCGACCUGAUCUGGUUGAAGAUGUCCCUGCUCAGGGCAGGGGGUUGGACUAGAUGGUCUCUAAAGGUGCCUCCCAACCCAGCCCAUUCUGUGAUUCUGCAUUUUGUUAAAUGAGCCAGCUCAGGUUAUAUAAGACUUUAAUUUCUCCGACCCAUGUUAAGUAUCUUUGUGGGACUGAAACGACCUCUGCAAAGCUGCCGUUGGUGGUUUCACGCUUGUCGUGAACUUUGAACACUGGUCUCUGAACCAAAGUACGACUCAGCCAGGACAGCUUUAGCUGACGCUCCUCGAAGAGCCGCAAGCCCUGGCAGACAGCAGGGUGUGCUUUUUCCGUUUCAAGACAAUGCCUUAGUUUGGUCCAGAACUUGGGAGAGGAAAAAAAAAAAAGAAAGUUAGAAAACAACAUACUACACAGAAACAAGAUGCUCACUUAUUUUCUGACAGAGUGGAGAAGCCUUUGGGGGAUCUUGAAAGCAUCUACAGCCAGAAGGCAUGUGCGAGGUGCAGCAGGAUGACAGUCUUGCAGCAGGAGCAGAGGCUUGUAGCUUCUCCACAUGACAGAGUCUGGCAGUCUAAGUCAGUAAUUAUUAUGUUUAAAAAACUGUUGUAGCAAGUAGGAAGGGAAGCAUAAAACCUUGGAGGUAUUAGAGUAUCUGUGAUUUUUUAGAAAUAUAUUUUUAUAUAUUUAAAUGAGAGUUUUUCACAAGAAUUUCUGCUCUUUACUCUGCACUAAUAACCAGGAACAGGCGGCUGUUGCACCGUUAGAUGUACACCUGCGUAUUGCGGCGCAGUGCCUUUCUAAGAGCCCAAAUCUAACACACAAACUUUUCUGUUUCAUCAUAUAAACCAACCCGUAGCAUCUUCUCCUAAUGAGGGACUUUUUUUUACACCUUCCUUUCUACUACUUGACAUUUUUUUCCAGAGAAUUUGCAGAAAAUCAUUAACAGUUUCUAGGUUUUAUUUCCAGAUUUUAGAUUUAGCACAUCUAGGUAUAAGGCUCUGCAUCUGUAUUAACGUAACACUUUUUUUUCUGAUAGAAAUCAAUGUUCAUGGAUGCAUUUACAAAUAACAGCACGGGUACUCAUUAUCUUCAUAUCUCUGUCAAUCUAGUCACCAUUAAUUGGCUAAAAUAUUAACGGUAAGAUGUCACCACCGAUGACCUCUUCAUUUACAUUUGUGAGUGACAGGAAAGAUGAGAGUAUUGACAGGGCUGACAGUGAAUUUGGGAAGGAGGGUCUCUUAAGAGGAAAGAUCAGGAGUCUAAUUUUGGUGACUUUAAAUUAGAAUUUGCAUGGAGACAUUCAGGAAUAGGCAUCAAAAGAGGGAGUGAGAGGUAAGGCUGAAUAGAAGGAGACAAAUUGUGACUGGAGAGGUAGAUCUGAGAGUUAUUUGUAUAAAAAUGGACAUUAAGCUGUCUAUAUGGAUAAGCUGCUGAGCCAUCAGCCUCGUUGUCAGGAGCAGCAGGAGUUCUGUUGUAGGAUGUUCUGCAGAAGAUGAGGAGGGCAAAGGAGGAAAGCGAUAACUGAAGGGGAAGGGUAAGAGAAGCAGAAAUUUCCAGAAAGGCUCAUGAGUCCUGGGAUUUAGCCCUAAGAUGAGUAUAGGCUGCUCAAAGAAGAUUGAAACAAAGAUGGAAAUUGUUGACAGAAUUAGAGAACUGGCCUUAACUUCCCUGAGAAAAGAGAUUUUCUCACUGGCGUACGGCAGGAUUGUCCUGUCCUGAGCUAUUCCAGGCCGUAUUCCAGAUUAACAGGCAAAUAUAUUGUGCGGUUUUCUUGUCUGGGAGGAAAAGCUUCAAACUGUUGUUCCCUUCCAACCUCAGUUAUUGUAUGACUCUUACAGAUACCAAUAAUAUAAGGUAAGGCUAUUUGAAAUACUCGGCAGCUUCUGAGCCGUACUCAGAUUUUUUUUGUUUGUUUUACUUUUGUUAUUUUUUAAGGAAAACUAUCUUUCAGUGCAGGAGAAGGUUAUACCUGUAUUAUAUCAUACCAAAAAGGGUUCAGGAAAGUUGAUUUAACGUACUGUCAAAAGAUGGUCUGUGUUGCCCAUCACAGCGCAAAGGUGAAGGGUGAGGAAUUAUUAUUGCCUGAAUUGUACAGGUAGGAAAAUGGGAUGAAGAAAGAGAGAAGCUCAAGGUCACACUGAAAGUCUGUGACAGAGCUGGAAACGGAACCCAGGCUCUUCACUCCAAUCAAUACAUUAAGAAUAUCAAUGACCAUCUCGCUUACCUCUUUCUCCCUUGCACAUUGCCCCGGUGAGGAACUCACCACUUGGUUAAAACACUUGUGAGAUUAACCAGUACUGCUGAAAACGAAGCAGCAGUCACAAUAACACUAUUUUGCAAUGAUUAAUUCUCUAAAAUUUCAGGUGAUGAGUGGUGCUGAUGGCAUUAAGAAAUUGCUCUGUGAGAAGGCAAGGCGCGAUUGAGUCAUAUUGUGUGCUCUCUCACCUUUAAACUGCCUUGCCUGGACCUAGGAAAGUCAGCGGAGAGCAGGUGAUGUUUUUCUGAUUGCUGCGUUUCAGUUGUGCAAAAUAACUCCUAAGGCCAGUUUAGAAGUGUUGCAGGACCAUCGCUUACGGUGGAGCUGUUGCCAGCACGAACAAACAAUAGUAGAUACGGCAAUAAAUGAUUUUGAAGAAUCUGUUCUGCACUGCUUCCAAUCUAGCAGGAGAGAAAAACAAAUGAGUUGACAGAUUUGCUGUGGAGCAAAGGUUAUUGGUAAGUAGUUGAACUCACAGUGCUCGUUUCUUUUUGCAAUGCAUUUUACAUCAAGGCUCAUUUUUGACUUCCCAAGUCAGAAGAGCCUCAUCCUCUCGCUGGCGCUGAGUGAAAACUCUACCGUUACAUGCUAGCAAUGUUAGAGCAGGGCUUCUCAUGCAUUAUCACAUUAUUUUUGCUAUCAGUUCAAGGAAAUGGACACUUGAUUCAUCUUCUCGCAUAUAUUGAUUCAAUCCUCCUUUUAAUUUAGCGCUGGAGAAGGCUAUUAGCCUCUAUUCGCAUUUACAAUAAGAUAAUAUAACCUGAUAGCUGUUCUCCCAAUCCAUUAUGGAAGAGGGAUAAAUAGUUUUGUUUCUGUAUGUAAGGAUCUAUUGACUUAUUCUCCUCAGCCGCAUUUAUAGUGGUUGCCGUCCUCAGUGCUGUAUGUCUUAAUAGCGUUUCACCUAGGUGGAGUAUCGAUGAAAGCUCCCUCUGAAGAGCAGAGAUAAAGGUUCAGGUAAUGCCUUUCGCUCUGAAAAGGAAUCCAGCUUUUCCCCUUGAACUUCUGUUGGCUGUAUUAAGGGCUGUGCAAAACGCCACCCCUGCCAUCAUCAUUAAUCAUGCUUUCACAAUCCUCAAGCUGCAAACCUGGGUAAGUGCUCUCCUGGCAGCAUCCCUCGCUCCCUCAGCGUCGCUCGCGUCCCCUCUAGGCUGGCCUUCAGCCACAUCGCCCGCGCCCGGGCUCCGGCGCGGCUCGCUGUCUGCACAGCAGGUGCUUGAUCGGACCAUCCAGGCACACCUGUGGGCUUGAGACGUGCUCAUUUAAUUCAUGUGUGACUGUAAGCCUGUCUUGUCUCAGCCCAACUCGCUGCUGUUGCCAUAGGCAUCUCCAUGGCAUCAGCUCCAGCACCCUUUCUCCGUGUCGCUGCUCCCUUCCUGGCCUCGUUACUCAGAUUAGUCACACCAGGAUCUUUAAAGAAGCAAUUCCUAAGCCGUGUGCUCGAGAACCCUUUUCUUUUAUUCAGAAACCAGUGAUUUUCUUUUAAUUCUUAGUUUGGGACAGUCUUUUGAAGGAUAGACACCGUGCCCUGCUGCCAUAACUGCAAGCCCCGAUGGGGUAGAGGUAUUUAAAAGCAGGAGGGAGGAAGUGGGGGAAAAUCUCAGAGGUUUUGCUAAAUGAGUGCGAAGCCCAAACGUGUUCUGCCGUGCUACACGCAGAAGCAUUGGUUGCCCCCUCCGUUUCAGCCCUGUGGGGAGGUCAGGAGUCGGCGUAUUCCCCAAGAGAGAAGCCAGCGCGCGGGGGUGGAUGCGCUGCACUUCUGCGGCGUCCCCCGUUCCUGCGUCUGGCGGGGAGCUCGAACGUCCUGCUGGGUCUUUUAUGCUCCAUUAUCAAAACCCACUACGGCCAGUAACAAACGUUACACCCAUCUGUACCCUCCUAUGACUACCCAGCAACCAAUAAUUCAUUUGCAAAGUGAAAGACGAGGUAUGGGCAGUGGACAAUUUUAUUUUAAAAUAUUGCCCGUCUUGCCUUUACUUGUAAUAGAGUGGCAGUGAUCCAUUUCCUAUUUGUUUCUGUUUAUAUUUCUCGGACAGGAUAAAAUAUAUCAAAAAUCAGUAAGAAUUUUAUAUGAUGCUAGGGAAAAAAAAUUCUUUUGUCACUUUUCUUAAAAAGAAAAUUAAUAUAAUGUGUUAAAAAGUCAUGAUUCUAAUUGUUCUUGCCAAGGAAAAGGUACACCUGAACUAAAUUAAUACGUAGGAGACUUGUUUCGUUCUGCAGUAACUACUACUGUUUUUUGAAAGGCCGUUCUGUUUCUGAGUUCCUUAUCUGAAAAGGUUUACCAUGUCUUCAUGCAAGUAGUUGUCAUGCUUUAAAAAAAAUCACAAGCGGCAAAAAGUCAGAAUUGUCAGUUCAGAAGACAUUGCUUGUUCCACUGGGUAAAACUGAGAAAGCAACGCUGGCAAACGAUCUUUAGGAAAAAAAAAAAAACAAAACACAAAACACAAACCCGAUGGAAACAGCAGCGGAAUGAAGAUAAAAAGGGUUGCAGGCUUUAUUCUCGUUGAAGGUUGGCAACGGGAAAUCUGUUGGAGUAGAAGAAGAAUAUCUGAUAGGUCAUCUGUUGUCUAAUGAAGAAUAGAAGACAGAAGACAAGCUAGGAGAAGCAAGGUGAUUCCAAACCUCGGAGGAAUGUAAGAUCUUGUGAGAAAAACAUGAAAGCAAUACCUUUAUAAACUGACCAAAUUUAAUUUACUAUCAACGAGCCUUGUAAGACUGCAAGCUGACAAAACCCAUUUAUAAUGUUAUGAGUAAGGCUGAAGUCAUACAUUUUUCUCCUAUGGAAUGAUUUUAUUAUGUAUUUGUUUCUUCUUCGUGCAGGUUUUCUGAUUAAAAAUUACCACUAAGAUGUCAAA